rnacentral:rRNA from 1 species
AGUACGGCCCGUACGUCGUCGCAUGGAAUAAUGGAAGAAGGCCCCGGUCCGGAAAAGGUGGGCGGCCCGGAUCUAAUACGGGGCGAUGGUCGACGGGAGCGGCCGGGGGCGAUCGUAUCGCGGCGCUAGAGGUGAAAUUCUUGGACCGCCGCGAGACGAACUACAGCGAAAGCAUUCGUCAAGAGCGCUUCCGUCAGUCAAGAACGAAAGUCAGAGGAUCGAAGGCGAUCAGAUACCGCCCUAGUUUUGACCGUAAACGAUGCCGACCAGCGAUCGGGCUGCGCUCGCCACGACGAGGCGCCCGGAAGCUCUCCGGGAAACCAGAGUGUCUGGGUUCCGGGGGGAGUAUGGUUGCAAAGCUGGAACUUGAAGGAAUUGACGGAAAGGCACACCAGGCGUGGGGCCUGCGGCUCAAUUUGACUCAACACGGGGAAACUUACCCGGCCCGGACGCGGGAAGGAUUGACAGACUGAGGGAUCUUUCUCGAUUCCGUGGGUGGUGGUGCAUGGCCGUUCUUGGUUGGUGGAGCGAUUUGUCUGGUUGAUUCCGAUAACGAACGAGACCCUGGCCUAUUAAGUAGCCUCCGCAUUCGCGGCGCCUCGCGCGGGCGGUCGACCGGUUCGGGUUCUCCCGCGGGACUUACUUCGUGUUCGUCGCCGGCGGGGGAUUCGCGCGGACGCGGUUGACGCGCGCGGGGCGGCGAGCGGGGCCAAUCAAAACGAUUCUUCUUAGAGGGACCAGCGACGCUAGGACGCAAGUCGCCCGAAGCGGGGCGAUAACAGGUCUGUGAUGCCCUUAGAUGUCCGGGGCCGCACGCGCGCCACAAUGUCGCCCGCAGAGAGUGCGCCGGCCCGGUCGGAGUGGAUCGGGAAACCCGGAAAGGACGUCGUGAUGGGGACAGGGGAUUGCGAUUGUUCCCCUCGAACGAGGAAUGCCUAGUAGGCGCGAGUCACCAGCUCGCUUCGAUUACGUCCCUGCCUUUUGUUCACACCGCCCGUCGCUACUAUCGAUCGAGCGUUGAGGUGAGGCCGUCGGACCGGAGCUUCCCGACCCCGCAGAGGGGCCGCGGCUUCGGAAAGUCGGUCGAACCCUUUCGCUUAGAGACAGUAAAAGUCGUAACAAGGUUAUC